CCUACGGGAGGCAGCAGUAGGGAAUAUUGGUAAUGGGCGAAAGCCUGAACCAGCAACGCCGCGUGUGCGAUGAAGGCCUUCGGGUUGUAAAGCACUUUUUGAGGGGAUGAGGAAGGACAGCACGUGUGACUUUUUGCAUGUACUGUAUGAAUAAGGAUCGGCUAACUCCGUGCCAGCAGCCGCGGUAACACGUAGGAGGCAAACGUUAUCCGGAUUCACUGGGCGUAAAGCGCGUGCAGGUGGCUCGGAAAGUUCGAUGUGAAAGCUCCCGGCUUAACUGGGAGAGGUCGUUGAAUACUUUCGGGCUAGAGGAUGGGAGAGGGAGGCGGAAUUCCGGGUGUAGUGGUGAAAUGCGCAGAUAUCUGGAGGAACACCAGUGGCGAAGGCGGCCUCCUGGACCAUACCUGACACUCAGACGCGAAAGCUAGGGUAGCAAACGGGAUUAGAGACCCCGGUAGUCCUAGCUGUAAACGAUGUAGACUUGGCGUUGGCGGGUUCAAAUCCGUCAGUGCCGAAGCUAACGCGAUAAGUCUACCGCCUGAGGACUACGGCCGCAAGGCUAAAACUCAAAGGAAUUGACGG
rnacentral:rRNA from 1 species